CAGCCGCCACGGGAAUACAGAGGGUGCAAGCGUUAAUCGGAAUUACUGGGCGUAAAGCGCGCGUAGGUGGUUUGUUAAGUUGGAUGUGAAAUCCCCGGGCUCAACCUGGGAACUGCAUCCAAAACUGGCAAGCUAGAGUAUGGUAGAGGGUGGUGGAAUUUCCUGUGUAGCGGUGAAAUGCGUAGAUAUAGGAAGGAACACCAGUGGCGAAGGCGACCACCUGGACUGAUACUGACACUGAGGUGCGAAAGCGUGGGGAGCAAACAGGAUUAGAUACCCGUGUAGUCCCUGUCUCUUAUAA
rnacentral:rRNA from 1 species